UGCAGCUCGACCGGCAGAGCUGUCUGGGUCAGUGGUUACCUCCCUUACCUCGAGGCCACCUUUGCAGAGGAGUUCCUCCAUCCCCUCCCUAGCCCAAAUGAACUCAUCCCCAAUGGUAUGGGACAUUGGUAGAUUUGCCCCACACACCCCAGGACUACACUGAUGGUUAGCAGUGCCCUCAUCAAGGAAUUACGAGUAGGAGGGGGAGUGUUGGUCGAAAGAAGAAUUUUCCUCAUCCCAUCAUUACCUAUAGGAGUUUGACUGAGGCCAAUUUGUAGACUGUGAUUCAGAGUGGCAGUUUUCCUACCCGUGGAUUUGGUCUCAACCUCCUCGUAUAACUUGUACCGCUGGGAAACAAACAGGCAUUUUGUGCAGUGGAGGCCCAUUCUACUUGCAAGACCACGCCUAUCCUCAGAUGCCAAGUCCCACGUGAGGGGUCCAUCACAGCCGGGUAUCUGUAGCUGGUGCAGUGAGACAACUUCAUUCCACAUCUCGGCUGUUUUCCCCAAGUGUAGAAGUCUGUGGGAAUUUUGGUUAGCCAGCCUAGCACUGUGGUGGGGUUUCAUCUCUCAGCUUCCUUGGCCGAAGAAGACAGUGGCACCUUCCCCGCACAAGCAUUUCCUCUUUUUCCGCAGCUGACGGAGUGUCCGAAACCAUCUUAUUCAUCUCCUCGGACAGUCUGCUGUAUGGUGCGGUCACAAAUAUAUCCAAAUACGAUCACCGGUCAGAAAGACAUUCACUCUUUUGAACUGUGGUGGAAGCAGUGAGGUGUCACCUAUUGAGAUGGACACAGUAUCCAAUACACUGAAGUCACAGGACUCAAAUUUCAUACAUGUUCACAGGUAGGUGUAUAAUCUUUGAAAUUACCACAAUUGACUAAUUCUGGGACAGGUAAGUAUGUAAGUAUAGG